rnacentral:rRNA from 1 species
AUACGUAGGUGGCAAGCGUUGUCCGGAAUUACUGGGUGUAAAGGGAGCGCAGGCGGGGGAGCAAGUCAGCUGUGAAAUGCCUGGGCUUAACCGAUGAACUGCAGUUGAAACUGUUCUUCUUGAGUGAAGUAGAGGUUGGCGGAAUUCCGAGUGUAGCGGUGAAAUGCGUAGAUAUUCGGAGGAACACCGGUGGCGAAGGCGGCCAACUGGGCUUUUACUGACGCUGAGGCUCGAAAGUGUGGGGAGCAAACAGGAUUAGAUACCCUGGUAGUCCACACUGUAAACGAUGAUUGCUAGGUGUGGGGGGUCUGACCCCUUCUGUGCCGCAGCUAACGCAAUAAGCAAUCCACCUGGGGAGUACGGCCGCAAGGCUGAAACUCAAAUGAAUGGACGGGG